UGUGUGGUCUCUUCAGCAUAGCAACAGCAGCGUAGCUGAACAUCUUACGGAUGGCCCAGGGCUCCAAAGGCUCGUUUCCUAAGUGAGAGAGAGCCUGGCUGAAGCUGUAUUACCAUUCAUUCUCCAGCCUCCGAAGUCUCAAAGCAUCACUUCCACCAUACUCUAACUGUCAAGACAAACACAAAGGCCCAGAAACUGCCAGACUGUCUUCUGAAGUGGCUAUAAUAUUUACACUCCCAUCAGCAGUGUAGAAGGGGUCUCACUAUGUUGUCUGGAGUGCUGUGGUGGAGUGGAGUGGCUAUUCACAGAGCCUGUUCUGCUGGGACACAGAAUCACUUGCUCCAUCUCAUACAUUGAUGAUGAUUAAUUUGUAUGUGUACCUUCCAAAAAAGAUGGUUGUGUUUGAAUGGAGGCCUUCUGGACAGGAAAAUAUGGAGAGUGCGUGCUUUGGAUUCAAGACUGGGAAUGAGGGGACCAGAAACCUAUUCUGUGGCUGUUUCUUGUUAGGACUUUCCUAAGCCUCUGGAAAAGUGCAAAGUACAAUUAACAUUUGAGUCUGUCUGAGUCAUGAAGAAAUGGAGAUUACUGAAAAUAAUUCAUUUUGGUAUCUUCUUACAUCCUGAGAGACUAAUCUUUCCAAGUUCAUCUGAGGCUCCUCUUCUCCAUGACAACCUCAUCCAGGGAUUUCUUCCUGUCCUGGUGUUUUAUGACAUGUGGAAGGGGACUGUAGCAGGUGAUCUCCAAAGUCUCUGGAGACUUACUAAUGUGCAUCCUCAUCUCGCUUGUAAGGAUAAUAGCCUUCCUCCAAACCUCACACACUUUUGGAGGAGAUCACUUUUUUUAAAGUGCAUGGAAAUGUUUUGAAACAGUGAAAUCUAUAAUGAUAGGUUUCAUAAUUCUAACAUCCACACCAUAUGAAUCACAUCCUUCCUGAGAUAAUGAGCACACAAUUGCCUGGAUACCUGAAGGAAUGGAGACAGCGGCAGAAAACACUGCAGAGAGGUGGAAACAUCCGUUAAUAUUUUAAAAUCCCAUUACUGCUACCAACAAUAAUAAUGGAUGCAUAGAAAUAGAUCUGGAUUAGCUGAGCUUGAAACAGUCCAUCUCACACACACACAAAAGAAUUUCAGAUACAGUGAACCCACAUGUUGAAGCUUUCUAGUAUAAUAAAAAUUUCAACUGUUCUGUUGAAUCAUCUGCCUGAUUGGAGGCUACAGAAAAGAUGUCAUCUUAGGAGUGCUUGCUCUGAGUGAGGCUCAUCUUCAAAUCUGAAUGACCACAAGGAGAUUUGAUUAUACAUGUGAACACCUCAGAAGGCACAGCCCACCCAGAAGGCAGACAGGUCAGGCUGCUUUUUCUUCAUUGCUUGGAUUCAAUCCUCCGGGCGGCUCAGGCUCAAACAUAACUUAAGCAUGAUUAAACUUUAGAAGAAGCUGCCAGGAAGACUGUGAAAUCUUCAUGCCCAAGGAUCCCUAAAAUUAGGAGCAACAACCACUUGGCUCAGACGGUUUAUGGAGGCAAAGGUUUGGAUGGGAUUAGAGAUUUCUAAAUGUGAGUUCGUGUCCUCUGCCAGACCACCUUACUUCCACCAUUCCUCAGCAAAUCAAGAAAAACAGGAGAAAAGACAUGCCUUUCCAUAAGUUAAAUCUAUUCUGUUUUAAUUCUAUAUUAUAUCUGCUGUACAACUUCUUUUGUUUGUAACACCAUAUUGUUGCUAGUAACUGGAAAUUAAUUUUCACAUGCCUCAGCUUAGAAAAAUAAAAAGCAGCCCUGCAUCAAUCCCAAUUUCCUUUUUAGUUUUAAUGAGCCUUGAAAUCCGAAAUUUCGGAAACCAUUGGUCUAGAUAAUCUUCAUUCAACAAAUAUUCAUUCAGCUGCCUGUUCUUAUGUCAUACAAAGGGAAAAUAACUUUUUCCACAGGAUUAUGAAAAUAAUUAAAUGAACUAAUAUUCAUUGCGCAUGGCACCAUGUUAAGCGCUUUACAUAUGCAAAUUAUUUUAUUUAAUUCUUGCAAAAACCCUAAGACAAAGACAACCAACAAAAAGCAUGGAGGGUGGGAUUCCUGCCAGGUCACCUCUGGCAUAGGCUGCCAUAAUUAACCUAGUUUUUACUCUGCUAAGAAAAUGACUGGUGUUUGCAGGGAGG
ensembl:lncRNA LINC00635 long intergenic non-protein coding RNA 635